AGAAUCAACGCUGGCGGCGUGCCUAACACAUGCAAGUCGAACGAGAAAGUGGUAGCAAUACCAUGAGUAAAGUGGCGCACGGGUGAGUAACACGUGACUAACCUACCCUUGAGUGGGGAUAACUGAGGGAAACCUUAGCUAAUACCGCAUAAUACCCACGGGUCAAAGGAGCAAUUCGCUCGAGGAGGGGUCGCGGCCGAUUAGUUAGUUGGCAGGGUAAUGGCCUACCAAGACGAUGAUCGGUA
rnacentral:rRNA from 1 species